rnacentral:misc_RNA from 1 species
AACGCACAUUGCGCCCAUUGGUAUUCCGAUGGGCAUGCCUGUUCGAGCGUCAUUUCAACCCUCAAGCUACCGUUGCUUGGUGUUAGAGCUUCUAUAAUCUUGUGUUAUAGGCUCUGAAUAACAUUGGCGGUACUUUUAUAGACCCAAACGUAGUAAAUACUUUUCGUUUAGGGAACUAUAAGAGUUAACCUUAGCCGUUAAACCUCUAUAAUUUUCAAGGUUGACCUCGGAUCAGGUAGGAAUACCCGCUGAACUUAA